CAAUAGCGUAUAUUUAAGUUGUUGCAGUUAAAAAGCUCGUAGUUGGAUUUCGGUUAAGAGCGACCGGUCCGCCGUUUGGUGUGCACUGGUUGGUUUUAACUUCCUGUAGAGGACGUGCUCUGGGUUUAACGACCUGGACUCAGAGUCUACGUGGUUACUUUGAAAAAAUUAGAGUGUUCAAAGCGGGCUUACGCUUGAAUAUUUCAGCAUGGAAUAACACUAUAGGACUCCUGUCCUAUUUCGUUGGUCUCGGGACGGGAGUAAUGAUUAAGAGGAACAGUUGGGGGCAUUCGUAUUUCAUUGUCAGAGGUGAAAUUCUUGGAUUUAUGAAAGACGAACUUCUGCGAAAGCAUUUGCCAAGGAUGUUUUCAUUAA
rnacentral:rRNA from 1 species